rnacentral:lncRNA from 1 species
CAUGGGAUGCCUAUAUAAGACCAGGAGGAAGCUGGAUACCAGGACACUGGGUGCAACCUCCACCUCCUGCAGAUGAUAUCUGGGCCUCCUACCUUCUGCAACCUAAAUGAUUGGACUGCUGAUUCAGGCAAAUUUUGCUGAAAAAAUGGUGAAAGUUUGCCUACUGAGACUACUUAAAUAGCAGACACUCGACUUGGUUUUCUGUUUUUGGUCUGUUAGGAGUAGCUUGUAUAGUUUUUACUGGAUUGUUAACAGACAUAUCACCAUCUACUAACAGGUGACUCU